GGGCAGGCAGGGCGGGAGAGGGAGGGAGUCAGGGGGCGAGGGGCCUCCCGCCGGGGCUCCCUGCCUCCUCUCACUCCAGUGCCCUUCUCUGCCGGGUCUGGCAAGGCUGCUUUCUGGGCCUCAAGGAUUCCUGUCCCAGUGCGAGGGGGGAAAUUGGCAAUUAAAAGAGAAAGAAAGAAAGAACAGAAACCUCAAAGCCUGGGAUUUCUGUCACCUCCAUAUUAGAUUUCAUUAGGAUGCUGUCCCGAGAGAGGAGUUUGGGGCUUUUGUUGUUGUGUUGUCAAAGAGUUUAAAAGUACUAACAGGAUGUUUUUAUCUUUACUAGGAAAAAGACAGGCGCCCUUUUGUGCUAAUGGAGCCCAGCUAACAUCUACGAACAGGGAGACUUUCAAAAGGGAAAGUGGGUUCCUACAAUAGUAUCAAACAAAAUAAUCUGCUCCACGGGAAACAAGAUGGGCUCUCGUCAGAACCCCUGAAUGGAAGUUAUCUGGUAUUUUUCCAUGGAUGAAAUUUUUAAAACUCGGAGAUUAUCUUUAUUCCUCCCAAGAAAAUGUUUUAAAUGGAAAAGAUGGUGGUUCUGCAUUUUCAUAUUGUGAAAUAUCUUUUUAAAAUAUUUUUGUAGCUUUUGAGAGUCUAACUAACUGCCCUUGCAGAUGGAAGCUGCAGCUUGUCUGGUGUCGGGGCUCUGGGCUCCUCCCUGGCCCUCUUUCCUGCCUGGGGCUCUGGGCAGGCAGGGUGGGGCAUGCAGGGUGCCCUCCUGGGGCCCACUCCUGCACUCACCUGCUGCUUGCAUUUGUGGCUUGGGUAGCCCCACGCCAGUGACAUCAGACAGGCAGGGUAUUGUCCCUAUCUUGGACAGCUAUAAAUUGUCAUCAUCAGCCACUGCUUAUUAGGUAUUCGCGGGCAUAGGGAGUCCUGCCAGGAACAAUCAGUGAGAGCCGAGGAAACACGGAUGAAGCCGACUCGUUCUCAAGGGACAAGAUGUCUCGAGCUGAUUAUCAUGUGCACGUCAAUUUACUUCUUUGUUGACCAUGGAAACCAUGGCCCCUGACUUCUGCACCAUUCUUCCACCAAGGCUGGCAAAAGCCCUGGCCUUGCUACAGAGCAAGAAUCCUUCUCAUACAUGAUGUCUCCGAGACUUAGGUAUUUGCACAGUAUUUCUUCCUUCUUUUUGGUCAGAGCUCAGCAAGAGAGCGUUUACUGUAAGAACCAAUAAGAUAGCAUGGGUAGAGUUCUUCUUGCCAUGCUAGCCACAUCCAGGAACUUGACCAAGUUUUGAAAACAUAUCUGAUCUGAAGGAAGGGGAAGGUGGAGGGAACCCUCGCUAUUCCAGGAAAUCUCUUCUCUGUGGCUGUCACUGACGUCACCUUUUCUGUGUGCUUGAGAAUCUUCCCUUUCCCGGCUGAUGAAAUUCAUUAUUGAAUGGAGAGGGGGAAGUUCACAAUCCACAUCUUUAGCCUAAUUAAUAGACACAGUGGGGCACUGUUUUCACUCCCGCUCUCCUCUCAGCAGUGUGUGUGCGUCGUCUACCCCACCUGCACCAACCUCUUCAGGGCUCGGAAGGGCCACAAGCAGGUCGAAUUUUCUAAAGUUGCAACUGUUUUCUCCAACAGACACAUUCACAUGGCCCCAGUUUAGUGAAUGCUAAGCUCUUUCCCUGGGAGGUUUUGAAUUACCCACCUAUCAAGAUAUUUGCUCAUGUUCAAGAGCUUGAAAUCCUCAUUUAGGAUUCUUUUCGGCAGUAGUAUCACACACACUUUCUUUGUGCACUCUCCAAUUCAAAAGGACAUGUGGUGCUUUUAAACUGUGUCAAGCCACAAUAAUGAGAAACUAAGAAAUAUUACCCUGGCCUUAAAAAAUGGGACUCCAUAAAUUUCGGCCAUGUCGGAAACGUGAACAAUACAUCCAGGCCCCUUCCCUUUUCUUUCACUCUCAUUCCUUCCCUCCACUUUCAAGAACCCUCCACCGACUCCAAGGCUGCCCUUGCACAGGGACGGCCUACUGCACCCUUGCAGGAUAGCGGGCGGGUACUUCUCCUCAUGAGUCGUAUUUCAGCCACCAGGGGCACAGGGGAUACGGGUCUGGUUUUUUAAUGCAUGCAAGCGGAUGAGCAUUUUUUGUGAACUAGCUCCUCAAAAUCCACUUGUUUCCAGUGGCAAUCAGGACACGUGGAUAAGCAGCCCGGACACCAGCAAUCCUGCAGGUCAGCCACAUCUUUCCACCCCAGUGAGAGGCACUGUGCGUGACGUUACCACCCACUCCUAGGUUUCCAGUGUGUCUGUGACACACCCACCUCGUCCUCAUGGGCUUGAGCCAGGCUCGGUGGUGGGUGGUAUGUGCAUUAGUGGAUGAAAAGCGGGUGCUGCUUGUUCCUCACUGGUCCUUGUGCUCCCUGAUUGGAACAGGAAACACAGAUUUCCCCCAGGAACAGUUGGACACAGGCCCAGGCUUGCACGGUGCUCACAGCCCCCCAGGCCAUGGGUGCUAAGACACUGAUCACGGCCCUGCAGGUGUGCCUGGCGCUAUAGGAACACAGCGGAGCUGGCUGUUGAGUUUGAUCUUGGGAAAACUGAAAAAAUGAUGAACUGGGUUUUACCAGAAAAGUCAAGGAGAGACAAGCAGCAGUGUUGUUAGGUGACAGGAGAGAGAGAGGACAGGGUCACAUUAGGACUUUUGUGGGCCCAAGGGACUCUUCGUGCGUCCUUUCUUUCGUAAAGUAAUAUGUCCGCAGUUAUAUUUUAUGCGUCUGCUGGAUGAAGAUGAAUAUAUUAAUACUGUUUAUUAAAAACUUAUUCUUUUC